rnacentral:lncRNA from 1 species
GGAAGGGGCAGCCGGCUCCGGAAGCCUGGGGAGCGCGACUCGGACCCUGGCCAAGGGACCGGCCAUGGGAGCCGCCUCGGCUGGCCGGCUGGGUUCUGGGGCUCCGACACCAGGGGCCCUAAACAGCACACUCGGCUGGUGUGUCAUGGUCUGUACCUACGUACAUGUCCCCCAAGAGCCUAGAGCUCAGCAGCGGGACCUUCAGAAGCUGACUGGGCUGCGAAGGCUCAGAGCUGACGGUCUAGGAGGCGGGGCCUGGCCGGAGGAGGUGGUCACCGGGGCGGGGCCUGGGAGGGGGUCUCCCAGGCUCCCCCCUCUCGACUUCCUGUUCCCCUCGCGGUGAGCUGCGCUCCUCUGCCAGGCCCCUCCGCCUCGCUUCUCUGCCAUGGACUGUGGGCUGAAGCGGGAGCCUGAAUAACCUCUCCUGUAAGUUAGAGGUGGCGGGUGUUGUGUCCCAGCGACGGGAAGGUGACUAGGACGGCGUAGAACUCAGGCCCCAGUGCACCCGCCGGCUGGACACCUUGGGGAAAGGACUGGAGCCGCCCUGUCCCCGCUGGAUGCCAUUCAUUCCUCGUCCUGAUAGGCACGAACUUAGGAUCCUCCUCCCUCAGCCUCCCAGAGUGCUGGGAUGACAGCCAGGGGACUUGGACCCACUUCACGGAGCAUGGGAACCUCUGGUCUACAGCAGAACUCCUGUGAAACCGUAGGUUUGCUGUGUGGUCUACACCGCUGGCUGUGAGUCCAACAUCCAUGCUCCCCUCUGGCUUUACUAAUAAAACCUAAUUCUGUUCAGAACAGAACAGUGGCACCGGUCUACACUCU